rnacentral:misc_RNA from 1 species
CCGAGUAUCGGGUCUCCGGGCCCUACUCCCACCCUCUGUGUACCUACCUAUUUUUCGUUGCCUUGGCGGGGUCGAUCCCCGUGGCCCCUGCGGCCACGUGGGGGACCCGCCGGGGGAACACGCCUAAACUCUAUUUUAACGUCUCGUCUGAGAAAACACAUAAUAAGUC